rnacentral:lncRNA from 1 species
UGCCAGGUUGAGGAGUAAAGGUCCAACGUGACAAGAUCCCAGGAGCACAGAGCUAUGGAAAGGCCUCCAGGUACCAUACUGGGAGGACACCAGGCAUGGGGAGAGCUUUGACAUCAUGAGGCCACAGUAUUCAAGAAGUUGCUUUCAAAGAUUUGCCAUUGAAAAAUGUGAAGAGAACGUUGUUAUCAGCUUCUGACUGCAGCAAACAGAUACCAGGCCAACUCUUUCUUCCUUCUUCUAUGAAAAGGACAGCGAAGACCAGGAUCAAGCUGUUCAGCUGCUCUGAGCAGCCCUGGUCUUCUGCCAGGGCUUCACUGACUGUCAUUACCUGGUGGCAGAAAAGAAAGAGGCUCUUUGGAGUUUGUAGGUGGCAGCCCCUGUGA